AAAAUAACUUUUUGUUUUAGUAAAUUCCCCCCAAAUCCCCAACCCGCUACUCGGCUAACCGCAUAUCACUCUCCUCUGCCGCCUCUGUAGCUCCCAAACGCCACUUUCAAUCAGGAACAUAGGAUAUGAUGAUGGAUGCUCAAACGCAAGAAGCAUUAUCCCCUCCUCAAGUGAAAGCCACACUCCGCCUUGGAACAGAAACACACUCUGUCGAGGUUUGUAAAGGGAUUCUUUCUGAGCAAUUGAUCUCUAUGAAAGAGCAAAGCAUGACUAUACUGAAGGACUACAUUACCAAGCAUAAUGUUCCAAAUGAGGUCCCUGAUGAACCAGAAGAAUUUUCUUCAGAAGAUGAUGGUGAAAUUUCUGAGGAGCCCUCUGUAAAAUCCAAGAAGCGCAAGUAAAUCUAUUUUCUCCUUUUAUGCUUAUGUCAUUGUAGGUUUUCCUAUUUUUAUGAUGGCUAUUAACACUCUUACAUGGUGAAAUUGUAGUUGAAAAAGAUGUUGAAUUAAUUUCCAGUUACUAUAAUUUGAGAUCAGGGGAACUGUUUGAGUAGUUUAUGAGAGUGAGAUGUGAAUGCUUGGUGAAAGUUCUGCUUUCUCUUUAAUUUGACAAUAUUUCAUUCGAAUGGAGUGUAACAUAGGCCUUUCUGUUUGUUAGAACUUGUAAUGUUUUGAAGAUUGUAUUCGUACGUCAUAUCUGUCUUUUUAAAUGAUUGAUCAAAAGUGAUUACGAUGUUA